rnacentral:rRNA from 1 species
CCGGCGCACGGGUGCGUAACACGUAUACAACCUUCCUUUAACUGGAGGAUAGCCCCGAGAAAUCGGGAUUAAUACUCCAUAACAUAAUGAUAUGGCAUCAUAUUAUUAUUAAAACUCCGGUGGUUAAAGAUGGGUAUGCGUAACAUUAGCUAGUUGGUGAGGUAAUGGCUCACCAAGGCUACGAUGUUUAGGGGACCUGAGAGGGUUAACCCCCACACUGGUACUGAGACACGGACCAG